GGUUCUAUGGUGUAAUGGCUAGCACUUCGGAUUCUGAUGCUCUAGAUUUUCCGGCGAUCCCGGUGUACGUGAAUAGUUCUCCUGCGCGUCAGGCGCACCGCUAACAGUCAUAGUCGAUCCCGGGUAGGACCU